UAUUCCACUCAUAAAGAGAAAGGAAAGAAAGACAGUACAUCUACAGCCAAUUCUUUCGUGGAGAUCGAAUUUAUGGCUCAUUAAAUCAGUCAUGGUUCUUUGUAUCGUAUACUACUUGGAUAACUGUGGCAAUAGGCAGUUCUAAAGCUAGUACAUGCAGCAGAGCUUCGAAUCUCUGAAAGGGGCAAGAUCUUUAUUACCUCAAAACCAAUCGAACCUCGUGUCCAUGGUAUGCCGCGAUUCUGAAUAACUUUAGGCUGAUUACACGGACUCAUCUCGGUGCGUAUCUUUCAACUGUCUGCCUUAUCAACUGUCGAUAGGUUAUGCGCCUACAAUAGUCAUAAUGGGUGACGGAGAAUCAGGGUUCGAAUCCGGAGAAGAAGCCCGAGAAGAGGCUAUCAUAUCCAACGGCAAAUCCAAGAAGCGCAAAUUAAUCACUCUCAGAAAGGGGAGUUAGUGACGAAAAAUAACACUACGGGGAUUCUUUUGAGAACCCCGUAGUGUUCUCCUGUAUGUAGUGUGGAAUGAGUACACUUGAAAUCUUUUAUCGAGGAUCAACAGGAGGGAAAGUCUGGUGCCAGUAGCCGUUUUAAUUCCAGCUCCAAAAGCAUA
rnacentral:ncRNA from 1 species